ensembl:lncRNA novel transcript
AUAUAAAAACAAAAGUUGAGUCCGGUUCUGGAAGUAAAGGGUGAGUCCAAGAAAUCCCUGAAUGGAUCCACCAUCUCUGGCCUAAUCAAUGUCACCAUGAAGGGGACCUGCAGGCAUUAGAGUGGGUCUUAGUCAUCAUCUCCAUGACUGAGCGGUGAAGAAGGAACCCAGCAUGGUGUAAUGAGCCAUGUGUAGCUGUGUAGGAAGAAGCAUCCCUGUCUGGUUUACCACUGUUAUCAAGGGAAUAAAGUAUCACUGCUGCCCAACAAGAAGUGUUCAGCACACAGACACAUAAAGAGACUUGAGCCACUGGAGCACAUUGAGGGAGAUUAGAGGACUGAGAGAUACAAUAGGAGGAAGGCGCAUGAUAUCGAGAAAAGAGAACCUGAGUCUUUGAAGUAAUCCCCUCUGACAACUCGUUUUGACACAGAGCUGCCAGGAAUCAUCCAUUCCAAUAAGAAGUGACAGUACUAAGAUUAAACUAUCAUUUCUUUAUGAAGGCUGUGAAGUAGCAUUAUAAUCCUGACAACCCAGAAAGUUUCAAUGGA